rnacentral:rRNA from 1 species
UACGAAGGGGGCUAGCGUUGCUCGGAAUUACUGGGCGUAAAGCGCACGUAGGCGGCUUUCUAAGUCGGGGGUGAAAUCCUGGAGCUCAACUCCAGAACUGCCUUCGAUACUGGAGAGCUCGAGUCCGGGAGAGGUGAGUGGAACUGCGGAGUGUAGAGGUGAAAUUCGUAGAAUUAUUCGCAAGAACACCAGUGGCGAAAGGCGGCCUCAGCUGGCC